rnacentral:rRNA from 1 species
AAAGAACUUUGAAGAGAGAGUUCAAUAGUACGUGAAACCGUAUAGGGGUAAACGGGUGGAAGCGCUAAAUCGGGUUAAAGAAUUCAAAUUAGUAUUAGCUCGUAAUGUGAUGCACUGCAUAGUUAACGCUAGUAGUUUUUGCACUCACGUUCAAUACUGGUUGCACUUUCUUUGAUUCGAGCGCCUCGACAGAUUGCAAUUUACGCGCACUUUAAAGGUUUUGACUAGGUACUGUGAUUCGUACGGACUAAUAAGUUGAUUCUUAUGCGUAUAUUGCGAUCUUGGAUUAAAAGCGGUGCCAGCGCAAGCGAGAUGAGUGCUUUUUCGGUGGCUGUCGGUACUACCUGGUAGUUCAUUCUAACCGGGUUAUCGUGUGCUUACUCUCAUGGUACUUUAGUCAGAGGUGAACGGUCGUACGUCUACCCGACCCGUCUUGAAACACGGACCAAGGAGUCUAACAUGUGCGCAAGUCAUUGAGUUUUACGAAACUUAAAGGCGAAAUGAAAGUGAAAGCUAUCUCGAUAGCUUAGGUGUGAUCCAGCGAAUGGCGCAACACCGUCCGGUCACAAUUGCUUAGCAAUAUGGCCGCGAAAGAGCGUACACGUUGGGACCCGAAAGAUGGUGAACUAUGCCUGAGCAGGAUGAAGCCAGAGGAAACUCUGGUGGAGGUCCGUAGCGGUUCUGACGUGCAAAUCGAUCGUCAAACU